rnacentral:rRNA from 1 species
UGCCAGCCGCCGCGGUAAUACGGAGGGUCCGAGCGUUAUCCGGAAUCAUUGGGCGUAAAGCGCUCGUAGGUGGCUUUGUAAGUCAGAUGUGAAAGCCCACGGAUCAACCGUGGAAUUGCAUUUGAUACUGCAUCGCUAGAGUAUAGGAGAGGGAAGUGGAAUUUCUGGUGUAGGAGUGAAAUCCGUAGAGAUCAGAAGGAACACCGGUGGCGAAGGCGACUUCCUGGACUAUUACUGACACUGAGGAGCGAAAGCGUGGGGAGCAAACAGGAUUAGAUA